CCAAAGGAAGCCUUCUGGAAAACUAGGAAGAGCAUAUGCUGCAGAUGAGCUCUGAAGUAGUCUGCUGGGGAACCCCUUCUUGCUCAGGUUGGAUUGUAAGAUGAUCAGAGACAUAGCCAAUUCAUCCACCAAUGACCUAUCAGUUCUACUGAAGCAUUGGCACCAAAUGCCCCUGAAGUCUUCUCAUCUGUACGCUCUCCUCUACAUGCUACACUUUGAGGAGCUGUCUGGAGUUACCGCUGAGUGUAUGUCCCAGAAUUUGAAUAGACCAUAAACACCUUAUAUAGAAAAGUCUUGAAUUUGCUUGAAAUAUUUAUGUUAAACUUUUGUAAACAGAAUAAAAUUAACACUUUGUUUUUUAUUAAUAUGCAUAAAUACCACACAAAAAUGAUGGAAAAUCAUUCUAAACACUGGUAUUAUCACCUGUGUCCAGGAAUAGCACAUUCCCAAGAUCCCAAAGGACUCUCAAUAUUUUUCCCAGUAAUAAUAACAUCUAUCCAUGCUAAAGAUCACUACAGUCCUGGCUUUAUGAAUAUUAUGUUUUGUUUUCUUAAUUAGCAACAUAUUUAUAUUUCUGGAUAGUAGGAUUUAAUUUUGUUCAUUUACAGAACUUUACACAAGUGUUUUAUUGGGGGGAUAUUUCCUUUCUUCAAUAUCAAGUUUUUAAGAUUCUAUAUUUUGUUUUGUGCAACUCCAGAAUAUUCACUAUCAUUACAUACCAAAAAGGUAACUUGGUAACUACGCAACUAAUGUGUAAAGCAUACGCUUGUACUUUUUAUCACCUAUUGAGAAUUUUGUAUGUCCUACUAACAACCCUAAUCUUGACUGAAACAAUUCAUAUUGAAAUUAUAUAA